rnacentral:tRNA from 4 species
GGGCGCGUAGCUCAGUUGGUAGAGCAACGGACUUUUAAUCUGUAGGUCCAGGGUUCGAGUCCCUGCGCGCCCACCA